rnacentral:rRNA from 1 species
UCAAUAAAACCCAUUGCGGAGGAAAAGAAACCAACUGGGAUUACCUUAGUAACGGCGAGUGAAGCGGUAAAAGCUCAAAUUUGAAAUCUGGUACUUUCAGUGCCCGAGUUGUAAUUUGUAGAAUUUGUCUUUGAUUAGGUCCUUGUCUAUGUUCCUUGGAACAGGACGUCAUAGAGGGUGAGAAUCCCGUUUGGCGAGGAUACCUUUUCUCUGUAAGACUUUUUCGAAGAGUCGAGUUGUUUGGGAAUGCAGCUCAAAGUGGGUGGUAAAUUCCAUCUAAAGCUAAAUAUUGGCGAGAGACCGAUAGCGAACAAGUACAGUGAUGGAAAGAUGAAAAGAACUUUGAAAAGAGAGUGAAAAAGUACGUGAAAUUGUUGAAAGGGAAGGGCAUUUGAUCAGACAUGGUGUUUUUUGCAUGCACUCGCCUCUCGUGGGCUUGGGCCUCUCAAAAAUUUCACUGGGCCAACAUCAAUUCUGGCAGCAGGAUAAAUCAUUAAGAAUGUAGCUACUUCGGUAGUGUUAUAGCUUUUUGGAAUACUGUUAGCCGGGAUUGAGGACUGCGCUUCGGCAAGGAUGUUGGCAUAAUGGUUAAAUGCCGCCCGUCUUG